rnacentral:SRP_RNA from 1 species
UGCAGCCGGGGAGUUAGCGGUGCCCUGUACCUGCAAUCCGCUAUAGCAGGGGUGAUGAUCGGCCCCGGAUCGUGUAUCUGUGGGGCUGCCCGGGAUAAGCGGCGUUGAUGUUUGGGUCUCACGCGACAGGAAUCUGUGAACCGUGUCAGGUUGGGAACAAAGCAGCACUAAGCAGAACCUCCUUGUGUGCCGUGAGGCAGCCUGGACUGAGCUGGCUGUUCCGGUUCCGCUCAUGG